rnacentral:rRNA from 1 species
GACAGAGGGUGCAAACGUUGCUCGGAAUUACUGGGCGUAAAGCGCGUGUAGGCGGUUCCGCAAGUCAGGUGUGAAAGCCCAGGGCUCAACCCUGGAAGUGCACUUGAUACUACGGAGCUUGAGUACUGAAGAGGAGAGCGGAAUUCCCGGUGUAGAGGUGAAAUUCGUAGAUAUCGGGAGGAACACCCGUAGCGAAGGCGGCACUCUGGGCCGGAACUGACGCUGAGGAGCGAAAGCGUGGGGAGCGAACAGG